rnacentral:rRNA from 1 species
UUUCUGGUUGAUCCUGCCAGACCUGACUGCUAUCGGAUUGAUACUAAGCCAUGCGAGUCAUUGUAGCAAUACAAGGCAUACGGCUCAGUAACGCGUAGUCAACCUAACCUAUGGACGGGAAUAACCUCGGGAAACUGAGAAUAAUGCCCGAUAGAACAUUAUACCUGGAAUGGUUUAUGUUCCAAAUGAUUUAUCGCCGUAGGAUGGGACUGCGGCCUAUCAGUUUGUUGGUGAGGUAAUGGCCCACCAAGACUAUUACAGGUACGGGCUCUGAGAGGAGUAGCCCGGAGAUGGGUACUGAGACACGGACCCAGGCCCUAUGGGGCGCAGCAGGCGAGAAAACUUUGCAAUGUGCGAAAGCACGACAAGGUUAAUCCGAGUGAUUUCUGCUAAAGAAAUCUUUUGUUAGUCCUAGAAACACUAACGAAUAAGGGGUUGGCAAGUUCUGGUGUCAGCCGCCGCGGUAAAACCAGCACCUCAAGUGGUCAGGAUGAUUAUUGGGCCUAAAGCAUCCGUAGCCGGCUCUGUAAGUUUUCGGUUAAAUCUGUACGCUCAACGUACAGGCCGCCGGGAAUACUGCAAAGCUAGGGAGUGGGAGAAGUAGACGGUACUCGGUAGGAAGUGGUAAAAUGCUUUGAUCUAUCGAUGACCACCUGUGGCGAAGGCGGUCUACUAGAACACGUCCGACGGUGAGGGAUGAAAGCUGGGGGAGCAAACCGGAUUAGAUACCCGGGUAGUCCCAGCUGUAAACUAUGCAAACUCAGUGAUGCAUUGGCUUGUGGCCAAUGCAGUGCUGCAGGGAAGCCGUUAAGUUUGCCGCCUGGGAAGUACGUACGCAAGUAUGAAACUUAAAGGAAUUGGCGGGGGAGCACCACAAGGGGUGAAGCCUGCGGUUCAAUU